CCCUCCUACAAAGGUGUGCCUGUGGUUUCCCUAACAUUGGACACAAGAAUUGGAGGCAAAGAAAUGUGGACUUGGAGAAGUCUUGGGCCAGCUUGCUCCCUACAGGCUCAAGAUCAACCAUCCCACAUAG